rnacentral:rRNA from 1 species
GACGAGGCACUACGGUGCUGAAGCAACAAAUGCCCUGCUUCCAGGAAAAGCCUCUAAGCAUCAGGUAACAUCAAAUCGUACCCCAAACCGACACAGGUGGUCAGGUAGAGAAUACCAAGGCGCUUGAGAGAACUCGGGUGAAGGAACUAGGCAAAAUGGUGCCGUAACUUCGGGAGAAGGCACGCUGACACGUAGGUGAAGUGAUUUACUCAUGGAGCUGAAGUCAGUCGAAGAUACCAGCUGGCUGCAACUGUUUAUUAAAAACACAGCACUGUGCAAACACGAAAGUGGACGUAUACGGUGUGACGCCUGCCCGGUGCCGGAAGGUUAAUU